rnacentral:rRNA from 1 species
UACGAAGGGGGCUAGCGUUGCUCGGAAUUACUGGGCGUAAAGCGCACGUAGGCGGAUUGUUAAGUCGGGGGUGAAAUCCUGGAGCUCAACUCCAGAACUGCCUUCGAUACUGGCGAUCUCGAGUUCGGGAGAGGUGAGUGGAACUCCGAGUGUAGAGGUGAAAUUCGUAGAUAUUCGGAAGAACACCAGUGGCGAAGGCGGCUCACUGGCCCGGUACUGACGCUGAGGUGCGAAAGCGUGGGGAGCAAACAGG